CAUGCCGUAAACGAUGAGUGCUAAGUGUUAGGGGGUUUCCGCCCCUUAGUGCUGCAGCUAACGCAUUAAGCACUCCGCCUGGGGAGUACGACCGCAAGGUUGAAACUCAAAGGAAUUGACGGGGGCCCGCACAAGCAGCGGAGCAUGUGGUUUAAUUCGAAGCAACGCGAAGAACCUUACCUGGACUUGACAUCGUCUGAAUAUCUAAGAGAUUAGAGAAGCCCUUCGGGGCAGAUAGACAGGUGG
rnacentral:rRNA from 1 species